rnacentral:lncRNA from 13 species
UUUAAAUUUUAACACAACAGUUGCAGUUUGGGAUGCUAAUACUAAUAGAUUUAUCAUAUUUGGAGAAUAGUUAAAAGAGUUAAGUGAAAGAGCCCUAUUUCUUACAACAUUCUUGCAUUCUCAAGCUCCUGUCUCUGCUGGUUAGUUAAGACCUAUACUUCAUUUUUCUUUAUAUUUAUCCAUGUAGUUAAUAUCUGAAUCAAAAAAGACAAUCACAUUUUAUGUUAGAGCAAACUGGAUUAAAUCUUGAUAUCCCAAAAUAUAUUUUGUUAAAAGCAGACCUUUCUGGAAUUUGUGUAUAGUCCCUUAUCUCAUCCAGAGUGCAGAGUCAUUGAAGAAAUAAGACAAAAGAUGGUCAGAUGGAGAGCCCAAGUGUUCCCUUUAUCAUUGGUAAGGCUAAUAUUGGAGAAUGUGGGCAACAGUGGGAUUCCUAUUAUCAUACUGCAAAAUUUGACCUACUCAUCCAGUCACAGGCAGCACUGGAUCAGAGCAGGCCACCUCACAUGGGACCUGCUGCAGUACAACUUCCAGCAUGGAGGAGCAGAGCAAGAUGUUGGCUUGCUGUGGGAGACGAGAGACACCCAUGCCUCUGACCUCUAUAUCUGUUACAGAACCCUGGCAACCACAACUCCAUUUUUCAUUUCUAUGAAUUUGACCACUUUGGAUAUCUCAUAGCUCUCUCCUUCAGCUACUAAACCUAAUGGUUGAUACAGCUAUGAGCAAGAGAGUCAGCCAAAAGCAACAACAACAACAACAAAAAAAAACCUUUAAGAAGCAAAUACAGAUGCCACGAUGUCUUGCACCAUAUUUCACAUAUUAAAGACAAAGAUAAUGCUUCAUUACCUCAUGUAAUUUCAAUGUCAGUUUAUCUGGUUUUCUAGCCUGUUAGAAUUUGAAUUUGGAAUAUUAAAUUGACUACUAGACAAAGGAAUAUUGAUAGUAUUAAAUAGCUAUAGCUGAAGACACGAAGAGAUAAAAAUAAAUAAAUAUUAAGUACAAGAAAUAUUUUCA